AAGCUGUUUUAGCCAUUGUCUUGCCCUCCAAGCCCCCCAUCCCCUUCAUGUAGAGCAUUGCCUGAGGAUUUCAAAGUUCUUUUCUCUACAAUUACAUUUCCUCCAAACUGUAACAGAUGAAGGAAGAAAAAGGAAAACAAAGCUAGUUAACUGUCUAAGCAAUGGAAUGAUAGAACGCUGGGAAUGUGGGAGUUUUUAAGACUGCAAACUUUACAGUGGCCUAAGUUUGUGGUUGGUGAUCAUUUUCAUGUGUGUAGUCCAAUGGGUGACUUCAAUGUAAACUCAUCCAUAAAGCUAUUUUAGUAUCAGAACCCGUAGAUUUAUCUAGAAUGACUGUAGGCAUCAGUGUAUAUUCAAGCAUGCUUUUGACAGUGUAUGUAGAUUUACAUGUAGAAAUGCAUUGUACUUGUAGCUGUCUUUCACUUCUCAAAUUCCCAGCGAUCAGCUGCCUCUGUCAUUUCAUGGAUGAAGUUUAUAUGUUGGGUAUGCUUUACAUGCAGCAGUGCUCUUUACACUACAGUAAAUAUUUUUAGGGUUGUGUUCUAUAUUUACACGACUGAUUUCUCACAGUACAUUCUCAUGAACCAGAAGAACAAAGUCAGUCAGGGUACAAACUGUUAAUUGAUUUUAGAUGUAGAUAUAAAUAGGAAUAAUGAUUCUAUGUUGAUUGUUUUGGUAUUAUGGAUAUAACUGAGAGGUCGUUAGCCCUAAGUUUUUAAUGUUUUUCUCACUGAAUUAGGAAAUAAACUUUAAUCCUGGCUAGUAAGGGGAACACCGAAACAUCUGAAGUAAUAAAUAAUAUAGUGAUUAUAAUAAAAGUAACAAGUCACUGUUACAGACUUCGUAGUUGGAACACAGAAAAACAUAACAAAAUUGCCACAUAUAGACUCCUUAUAGUCCUUCUUAUAGGAAAAAAAUAAGUCAUAUUUUCAAAACAGGGAACUUUUAUAGGAAAUAAUAUUUCAAGUCUGCAUAGAAUGCAUAAUACAUUUUCUUAUAACACUGCAGAAUAUGUGUGAUAUCAUCCCUGAAUGCCUUGAAAUUGGUCAAAAAAAGUUAUUAGAAAAACAUGAUUAGUCAUAAAGCAGGGUUAUUUGAAGCUUCAUCAUAAAGAUGGUCUGGAUUAUAAACAUGAGAGGCUUACUCUCCACCCUUCUGCUGGUAAGUUAUUUGCCAAAGCUGAUGAGAUGCAUCAAAGCUAAGUGGCCAGUUAAGGUCAGAUUGAAGUCUGGGGGUGUAAGUUGCAGACCCCUGCAGGCUGGCAAGGAUUAAGAUAGUCUUUAUGACAGUGAGCUUGCUGUUACUUUUUUGUUGAGUGAGCAUUAAAUACCAAGGCUAAUAAGGAAAGAAAAAAAGCCUACAGAUUGUUAAUCCCUGUGGUAAAUGGGGAGUUGAGGCUCAGUUUUUCUUUCUUUCUUUUUUCUUUUUUUUAGAUCUGUAUGGCUAAUCUUUCCAAAAUAAAAUCUUCAGCUUAGGUUUCAUAAAUUAUCUCUCACUGACUAAUGAAGUGCUUUAUAUUUCUGAAAAUAAUUCGUUUAUCUGAAUUUUAGCAUGAGCUUUGAUCUUGAAUCUGAUUGCUUUUUAUUAAACAAUUAUACUAUGUACUGACCGAACUUGCUUCAGCACUCAUACCACAGUUAUUUACCUCUGUGAAAGGUAGCACAUCAAAACUUUGGUUUCUGUCACAUCUGUGUCAUAUUCAUCAUUGGCUUUGAAUCAUGGCUUUGAACUUAGGAUCCAAGGCAAAUAAGAACUGGGACAAGCAUGAGCUUCUUUGUUUUGCUCAUCUGAAUAAGUUUAUUCCCUCAAAAAGCUACAGAAACGUUCAAGAAGUUAAGUGUUCACUCAGAACAGAAGUUCUGUAGGCUGUAUGGGGGCAGAAACUACCAAGGAAUGUUUCGUAUCAAAUUUACACUCAACAGAGUGGAGAUGACUAAUUGUUAGGUGAGAAGUUGCUGUAAAUUCAUGUUAGCAGUUCUGAGUUCAGCUACAAGAUAUUAUCUAAGACUCAAUGGAGAACUGACUAGGUGACUCAGAGAAUUAGUAAUGGCUUAUACAAUCAUUUCUAAAUUGAGUUUGUAUAUACUGAACUAUAUAGUUGCAAGCCAUUGCUAGCAAAUGACUCUUCCGUGGUCUUUGAGUUAAUUGUUAAUCUAUAUUUGUUUUAGUGGAUGGAUCAGAUAAAAGAACAGUCACAGCUGGCUUUAUUAAACAUAGCUGGUUAUAGCAGUAGAAACUAAAACCUGAAUGGUCAUGGCUGCUCUUUCAGCCGUAGAAGUAGGUUUCAAAGAAGAAAUGAGAAGCAGAGAGUACAGAGAAAGAAGAGGUGGUACCCCCACAAAAGAACAUAAUUUGUUACACAAAAAGAUGGUGGCCUCAGUUUCUCCCAGAGAAUAGUACUCAUCCUUGAGUGCUACCAGUUGAAUUCCUGUUGCAUAGAGCUAUAAUCCACACUGCAUGUUUGAAGUUCUGGUAUGACUUUACUUUUUAAAAGUAUGCCAAAUUAAAAGGUUGAUAUUCCAGGAUAAUCAACAGCUUCCAAAACGUUAUUUUGCCACUAUUUGCAAUAAUAAUUAGUAAAAGCUGCAAAAUAUAGACCCUUCUACUUUUAAUGAAGUCUAACUGUCUAAAUUACUAAAAUUCUAAAUUCCUGAAGUAUAUAGCAUACAUUGCAGGGACCUACAUGAUUAUAAGUAAAAUUAUUAACAUACAUGUAGUGCUUACAUAUCUUCUAGCUUUUAGAGUUUUCUAUCCUUUUAGAGUAUCCUAUCCUUUUUAGAGUUUCCUUUUGUUUUUGAAGUGAUACUCUAAGAUAUAUUCUUAGGGUAAAAAUAUAACAAAAAUAUUAAGAAAGUCAGUACAUUUAAUUCUAGGCAUAUCUCAUUCUAAUGAAGGGUCCUCUUCACAAAAUAGCUGUUUUUAAACAAGGAUUAAGCUUCUAAAGUAUAUAAACAAGGGUUUGGGACAGUAGGGGGAGAGGUGGGGAAGAAAAUGGUUUGUAAUGACAGAAACGUUUGUACUAUAUUUAUUGAUUAAGAGUCAGUUAAACAAAGAUUGUAAUUAUAACUGAGCAUUUCAACCUCCAUUCCAGCAAAAGAGUAUUUAUGAAAGACAUCUACCCAGCUUUUUUUCUGAUUAAUAUUUAUGGCUUGAGUAGAAGGUAAAUACAAAAAUGUGAAGUAAAAAACCAAAUUUGUAUGGUUUUACUUGUAAUUGGAAAAUAGGUCCAAAAUCCUUUUCCAUUCCCAGCUAGUUUGAGAAGUCAGUAAAGAGAUUUGGAUAUGUAUGUCUGUGUGUGUACACAUGGAAACAUAUUUUUAUAUGAUCACUGUACAACUUUGUUCGGUUACUGUAUCUAAAUUCCUUAGUGUAACAAAUACACAUAAGCAAUGUGCCAUUACACUUGCUACAGAGUGAAAUAUUCAGAGGAUGAUAUAAGGUGUCAGUAUUUUGAUGUUAUGUAAUAAGAUAUAUCUCUUGAAUUUGUGACUUUCUUUGUUGGUUCUUGCUAGAGAAAAUAGCAUUAUAAAGAUAUUUGGCAUCAAUGCUGAUAAUAUCAGUAAAAAUGAAGUAGUUAAAUAGCAUUCCUAUUGAAAUAAUGACAUACAAAUAUUUAGAAGAAAUUUUCUGUCCUAUAUAGCACUGCCGUGAUAGAAAAUUUCACUGGGGACUGAAAGCUUGAGGACAAGUCAAGCAUAAACUAAAGCAGCUUAUGGGUAGUAAGAGGAAUUACUGGGACUUAGGAAGCAGUGCAAUAGUAAUGGCAAAUUACAGUGUUUUGUGACCUAAGUCAGCUUCACUGCAUAAUUUGUGAAGAACUCUCCUUACUUCCCCCUCAUAUACAUAUUGCCUGUUUUCUUAUGUAUUGAAAUAUGGAGUGAAAAGAAGGGGAAUAAUGACACUUUUCAGGGACCUGUGAUCUAAUUCUGUAUUCAGAAAUAUUUAAUGACAGAUGAAAGCAGAGAAUCUUUACUUUCACUUUACUUGCUUAAAUAACACCUCUGUUUCACCUUGUUGUGUCUGUUGUAUCAUUUUAUUUACUUAGCCCAUGGGUAAAUCUUCACACCUAAGUGGUGAAGGAGAUGCUGUGUAAGGAUUAAAUCACCACUUGUCCAAGUGGACAGUUUAGGGGUUGUGCCCUUCUGUAUAUGCGUCGUAUAGUAUGUUGAUGUGUGUGGGGAUCUGAGUGGCACAGAGGACAUUUGUGGUUGGGUUUUUUUUUUUUGUAUAACCAACUGAGAAAGACCUUGCCAAGAGCAUUUUGGUGACAUGAUUUAUGUAUCGUUUCCUAAGUACAUUAUACUAUAAGAAGCUACAUACAUAGAUUGCUCCAAAAGUAAUUCCUCCCACUUAUUUUCUUGAAAACCACAACAGCUCAGUUUGAUAGAGAAAAUUAUCAGCU